CCAACCAAGAUUGAUAAGCAUCACGGAGAAUAUGGUUGAAGAACAUACAACAGAAGUACAAUGGAGGUUUAAUAGUAAUUACCCUAUUAGAAGAUUUCUACAAUGUGUAUAUGACGUAUAGAAUGUUGUUAACUAGUGCUCAGAAGAAGCAAGCUCCAACAUCUAUGCACAUGUAUAAUAGACACUUAGAUGCUAUAUGUAUCCCUUGUACUUGUACCAGCCAAUAGCCAUCACAUACAGUGCAAUGACCCCUGCACUGGAGCUGCCAGUAGUCCAAAGCCAUUUUGGCAUUCCUUCUUGCACACUUAUUUUGAACAAAUGAAUUCUUAUAUUCAUACCAAGAACACCAGCCAAAACAACAAACGCUGUCAAAACUAGAGUUGCUGUUGUCAACAUCACCCCCAUUUGCAGCAGCUGGUUCUGUUUCUCAUCCAGCAUUAUAUUUAUGUAGUCCUCUGUGUCAUCCACAUAUUCCCUCAGCGUGGAUAGUUUGUUUAGUGUGCCAUCAGUUUGCACAAAGUAUGCCUCCAAGAGCAUUUCCAACUCUCCUACAUUGAAGUCCCUGAUGUUAGAAUUGGCAUAAGUUCCAUGGCUGCCAUUGUCUCCAUGAGCUUCCAAUAAGAUUUCAGAGGGAACCAUUCUGUCGUCUACUCCUGCAUCUUCAUAAUCAGAGUCAUCUCCUUCAUUUGUAGAGGAAGUGGAGGAGGGUUCAAGGUGUCGUUGAAACAACUUGUUGGUCAGAUACAUCUCAGCCAUAUCUCCAUCAUCAUCUAGUAAGUGCUCUAAUUCAUCCCUUACCUAAUUAAAUAUAUAUUAAUGCACUGAAUUAGUAGUAACUAAUAUUCUAAAAUUUAAUAAGCAAGCAAUAAUUAAGAGUAUACUCAACUCUUUGAACACGUCCAGUUGUGGCAACUAUACGACUCUUGAUUUGGCGGACUCUUUCCAGGUUUAGAGUACUGAUGUGAGAAGUAAGCUUGUCCAAGGCAGGAUGAGCCUCUAGCUCCAAGGUAUUUGCUUCAUUUUCCAAGAUGCUGCAAGCUGCCUCAAGGCAUGCCUCCAAAGCGACAAACUCGAAGGGAAGGACCUUGGAGCCAUCUUGGUUCUUGAAACCUUGUUUCCUCUCUGCCAUACUUCCCUUGUCUUCAAAAAAAUCUUCCAAAAGUUUUUCAGGCCUUACAAGCUCGGAUUGUUUUGAAUCUUCCUCACCAUCAUCCUGGGUUUUAGUAGCUUGGAGAUAGCAGAGGAUUCUUCUCUCCAGCUCCUGAACAAAUGGCUUAACGAAAGGAUCUUCAGAGUUCAAUACCAAUACCUCCUUUGCCAUGAUUAUUGCCUUUAUAUGCUCUAAAUUGAUAACGAUCGCUCUCUCCCUACCCAAAACCGUUGAUGGGUAUGACAGAAAAGGAUCAAGAACGCGCAGGUCUCGUGCUGGCAGCCCCGUUCGCCGCAUGAUCGAGUACUUGCCGGCCUCCAACACCUGGUUCUGGCCCGUCGAGUCCAGCAUGAGCCAGGUCCGGACGCCUGUGCCCUUCUUGCGCAGCACUGGAGCUGUGUUUAAGGCCGUGGCAGGGUCAGAGUCUCUCAUGGUUUGGGUUAUUGACCGUUUAUGUGACUGAUCGAUCAAAGUAGCUAGAGAGACUGUAGUUGCUGCAUUUGUGGCUUCUGCCCAAAAUAAGAAGAGGGUUUCGUAUUGCCUUA
rnacentral:misc_RNA from 1 species